UAGGGAAUCUUCGGCAAUGGACGAAAGUCUGACCGAGCAACGCCGCGUGAGUGAAGAAGGUUUUCGGAUCGUAAAACUCUGUUGUUAGAGAAGAACAAGGACGUUAGUAACUGAACGUCCCCUGACGGUAUCUAACCAGAAAGCCACGGCUAACUACGUGCCAGCAGCCGCGGUAAUACGUAGGUGGCAAGCGUUGUCCGGAUUUAUUGGGCGUAAAGCGAGCGCAGGCGGUUUCUUAAGUCUGAUGUGAAAGCCCCCGACUCAACCGGGGAGGGUCAUUGGAUACUGGGAGCAUUGAGUGCAGAAGAGGAGAGUGGAAUUCCAUGUGUAGCGGUGAAAUGCGUAGAUAUAUGGAGGAACACCAGUGGCGAAGGCGGCUCUCUGGUCUGUAACUGACGCUGAGGCUCGAAAGCGUGGGGAGCAAACAGG
rnacentral:rRNA from 1 species